rnacentral:tRNA from 1 species
CAGGGAGACAACAAAAUGUUAAAUAUUAAUUUUGUCACCUUAGGUCGAUCGGUAUCUCACAUUCUUAAUUUAUUAAGGAUUUUAUUUCCUAAGUUUUUCUAGGUCACACCCAUUACUUUUCCUGGGCCAUUAGCUCAGGUGGUUAGAGCGCACCCCUGAUAAGGGUGAGGUCCCUGGUUCAAGUCCAGGAUGGCCCAUAUCUCUAUGUUGGGGGUAUAGCUCAGUUGGUAGAGCGCCUGCUUUGCAAGCAGGAUGUCAGCGGUUCGAGUCCGCUUACCUCCACUGAUUACCACCUCUUCCAUAAUUCUAUGUAUUCAGGGAUUGUUUUGAGUUGUGAUCAAAUUCUGAACGAAUCUAGCUUCCUAAUGAAAUUAUUAAGAUGCUGGACUCAUUGAAUUAAUUUCAUUGUUUUCAGAGAACCUUGACAACUGCAUAGAUUAUUUUUAAAGACAAUAAGCAUCUUUAAUGAUGCAGAUUUAUUAUUUGUGCGAAUGCAUUAAUAACAAUUCUAUUAAGCUGAUGCUUCAAUUUUUGAAGUUAUU